rnacentral:ncRNA from 1 species
AGACCUCUGAUCAGGAAAGACUACCCGCUGAGUUUAAGCAUAUCACUAAGCGGAGGAGAAGAAACUAACCAGGAUUUCCCUAGUAACGGCGAGCGAACCGGAAAGAGCCCAGCUUGAAAAUCGAGGUGCUUCGCACCUCGAAUUGUAGUCUGGAGAAGCGUCCUCUGCAGCGUGCCGGCCCCAAGUUCCCUGGAAUGGGAUGCCCAAGAGGGUGACAGCCCCGUCGAGGCCGGUUUUUUAUUGCUGCUCCACGAGGCGCGAUCUGCGAGUCGGGCUGUUUGGGAAUGCAGCCCUAAGUGGGAGGUAAAUUCCUUCUAAGGCUAAAUAUUGGCAAGAGACCGAUAGCGAACAAGUACCGCGAGGGAAAGAUGAAAAGGACUUGAAAAGAGAGUAAACAGUGCUGUGA